rnacentral:rRNA from 1 species
AACGAACGCUGGCGGCAUGCCUAACACAUGCAAGUCGAACGAGACCAUCGGGACUAGUGGCGCACGGGUGCGUCACGCGGGGGAACCUGCCCGUAGGUUCGGAAUAACUCUCCGACGGGGGUGCUAAUACAGGGUAAUGUAUGCGAACAAAAGAUUUAUCGCCUUUGGGUGGGCCCGCGUUGGAUUGGCUUGUUGGGAGGGUAAGAGCCUACCAAGGCUACGAUCCAUAGCUGGGCAGAGAGGAUGAUCAGCGACACUGGGACUGGGACACGGCCCAGACUCUUACGGGAGGCAGCAGUGGGGAAUAUUGGACAAUCGGCGAAAGCCUGAUCCAGCAAGGCCGCGUGAGUGAUGAAGGCCUUAGGGUUGUAAAGCUCUUUUACCCGGGAUGAUAAUGACAGUACCGGGAGAAUAAGCUCCGGCUAACUCCGUG